AUUGAACGCUGGCGGCAGGCUUAACACAUGCAAGUCGAGCGGGGGAGGUUGCUUCGGUAACUGACCUAGCGGCGGACGGGUGAGUAAUGCUUAGGAAUCUGCCUAUUAGUGGGGGACAACAUUCCGAAAGGGAUGCUAAUACCGCAUACGCCCUACGGGGGAAAGCAGGGGAUCUUCGGACCUUGCGCUAAUAGAUGAGCCUAAGUCGGAUUAGCUAGUUGGUGGGGUAAAGGCCUACCAAGGCGACGAUCUGUAGCGGGUCUGAGAGGAUGAUCCGCGCCACUGGGACUGGGACACGGCCCGGAGUCCUACGGGAGGCAGCAGUGGGGAAUAUUGGACAAUGGGCGGAAGCCUGAUCCAGCCAUGCCGCGUGUGUGAAGAAGGCCUUUUGGUUGUAAAGCACUUUAAGCGAGGAGGAGGCUACUAGUACUAAUACUACUGGAUAGUGGACGUUACUCGCAGAAUAAGCACCGGCUAACUCUGUGCCAGCCGCCGCCGUAACAC
rnacentral:rRNA from 1 species